UUAUAAGACGAGAAGACCCCAUGGAGCUUUAAACCCAACCACACCCCUAACUCUUAUAGCCCCUCAACCUUUCCUGGGCCCUGUACGGUUGGUUUUAGGUUGGGGCGACCACGGAGUACAACAAAACCUCCACAAUGAACGGGACUACCCCCCUUAUCUAAGAGCCACACCCCUAAGAAUUAGAAUACUAACAUAAAAUGAUCCAUUAUUUGAUCAAUGAACCAAGUUACCCUGGG
rnacentral:rRNA from 1 species